UUCGGGUAUAUUUGGUGAAAAUCAGGAUUUUUACUAGUUUUUACUAUCCCGAUAUUGGUUCGGUUGAGGGAUAAAAUCGGGAUGAUACCGCGAAAAUCGAGAUAGUUGGCAGGUCUGUAUUCAUAUGCCAUAAAAAUAAAAUUAGAAGAGUUUAAAAAAUAAAACUAAAACAUAACACCAAAGCAUACAUAGUGCAUGUACUAUAUUAAGCAAUGCUUUUUUUUUCAUUCUUUCAGAUUAUCAUUAAAUGAUUUAUACAUCAACAGACAUUGUAUAUCUCAAAUGACUAGAACUUGUAUACUUUUAACAAAAAAACAAAGUACUAAUAUCUAACUAGUGACAAUGACUUCUGAUUCACACAUAAAACAGUAUAAAUAUACAACUAAAUAAAUAAAUCAUUAUUGAGUCUUAGGUCCUUCAAAAUACUUUCUGAGGGGGUGGGCAGAUUGACUAUGAUUGGGAAAAACAACAGAAAAAAUCUAUAUUCAACACCAUCAUUUCAGUAAGCUUUAUAUAGAAUAAAUAAGUUUACGGUAUAAAAGUAUAGAACCAAUAACUGAGGCCUAGUUGGAAAACACAUACCGGUACAAGAAAUUUGUAUAUAUUUUAAACAAAAUAAUUCUUACUCAUAGUUAAAAGGUGAAAUAGCUAGGUAGUUUUGGUAUCAAAUGAAAGCUUGGGGACUUGGGAUCACUGUAGAACUCUUGAUGAAAGAUUCUUUUGAAUAAUAAAAAAGAAAAAAUAAUUAUAAUAGGAGGGCAAAUUUGCCCUGUUGUUUAGAUCAGAAGUACCUGUUUUUGUAGUAUCUAACUUUUGGGAACCAGUAUGCUCUAAUAUGCAAUCAAAGGUAUGUUGAAUUUUUCAGCACAAGUCAGGAUAAGGUAUAGUUUUGACAUGAAAUGACUGCCACUUUAUUUGAACAAAGUAGUCAUUAAUGCUUGAAAUUGCAGAAUUUAGCCCUUACCAUGCUGGCUCCAAUGGCAUUCCAUACUUUUAGAAGUCUGUGAUACUUAUUUCAAAAGUUAUGCAUGUUCCCUCAACCUGAGGCUAUCUAUUGUCAUGUUUCUCAUGUAUAAAUUGCACUUUCAGCUCAAAUAUGUACUUGGAAAAUUGAAAUCGGAUGAAACUCUGGUUUCUGGAGGGGUGGGCUUCCCUUCUGUGUCUUACACAAGAAGUUCAGAGGCCUAAAACUUGCAAAAAUAGUGCAAACCUGCAGGCAUAUAACUACUGAUCAUAAUUAUUAUUGAAAUACACAUAGGAAUUGACAACUUCCGGUUUCAGGUACAGUUGAAGUAAAAAAUGGAUUUUUUUUUUUUAAUUCCGUAUUUUUGGUGCAAAUGAUCUUCUUUAGACUGCUGAACUAAGAUCUGUUUCACUCCCACCUAACAACUGUUCGAGUCAAUUUGUUAACUGGGGUCCAUUCUAUAUGCAGACUACAGCUGAAUACCUAUACCACAUCCCUGGGUAUUGGAGGGCCAAGAAAUAGGAAGAAAAAUCUUAUUGCACCUGAUGACCAACUUUGGAGCAAAUUUCUGCCUACCAUUACCCCCUACCCCCCACCCUGUGAUCCCCUACCUUAGAAUUAAAGGAAUCAAAAUACUUCAGCAGCAGGGUAAAGCUCAUUUGCAUAUAAUUUGCAUAUCUUUGCAAAUAAAUGAAAAUUAUACAUUUUCUGAAAACAAUUCAGCAUGGUAAGUUUUUACAUAGAAAGCAAUGGGGCUAAUGGAUAAGUGGUUUAAAACUUAAGAAAGUGAAAUAGCAUGAAUGUUGGUAAUGGUUCCUUUAGAUUUGAAGAAACUAUAUGCAAUAUCUAAACAACAAAAAAUAACUUUCUAGAAUAAUGACCCUGUUUUUUUAAAUAUAAAAUGGGAGUAUUGAUAUUGACAUUGGAUUUGAUUUCAUUAUUUAUACCCUUUUUAAAUUCUAAGCACAAAACUUAAUACAUUUGUAAUUAUCAUCAGUUAUCAAAAC
rnacentral:lncRNA from 1 species